rnacentral:tRNA from 1 species
AUUUGGAUAGUUUAAUGUAAAACAUUAAUUUGUGGAAUUGAAGAUAUAAGUGUGUUCUAAAUA